GUGUCUCCUACCUGGCCGCCUUCUAAUGAUAAGUUCUAUUUAGCAGGACCACGCCCCGCCCAAUUCUUCAAGCAGAGCGGCGAUUGGUUUUCUGAGCUGAGCCGGGAAAACAGAGAACAUCGAUUGGCCAAGGAAGUAGUUUAGCAGUUAGAAUGGGACUCCAUGGAAACACAUGACAACAGCCGGAUCCGGAACGUUGACGUGCAAUGGUGAGUAUGAGCAUAUUAGCAAUGGUUCCUGUGUUCUAUCCAUGCAUUCCUAUCUUACGCAUAAUAACUGUUAUACAAAGGACGCGCAGCGAACUGGAGCUCUGUAUAUUGGCUAUAGAGGAUUAGUGUGCAAGUUAAAAAUAAAUAAAAUACACAUUUUCAGGCAUGUUAAUUAGAAGAGAUUGCACUUUAAAAAGCUGAGUGUUUACAUACAUGUGUCUUAAUUAAUUUUUGGUUAACAUGUUACCAUUCCUUAAUUCAUGCUAACAUGCGUACUUGGUACUUCACAGGCCAUUAGAGUACAGAGAUAGAUGAAUAUCCAGGUAUCAUAAUAGAAUGUAGAGUAAAUAAUACUCUUCUGUCUUUUCAUGUGGCUUGGAAGAUGCAGAAUUAUAG